UACGUAGGGGGCAAGCGUUGUCCGGAAUUAUUGGGCGUAAAGCGCGCGCAGGCGGCCUUUCAAGUCUGAUGUGAAAACCCACGGCUCAACCGUGGAAGGUCAUUGGAAACUGAAAGGCUUGAGUACAGAAGAGGAAAGCGGAAUUCCACGUGUAGCGGUGAAAUGCGUAGAGAUGUGGAGGAACACCAGUGGCGAAGGCGGCUUUCUGGUCUGUAACUGACGCUGAGGCGCGAAAGCGUGGGGAGCAAACAGG
rnacentral:rRNA from 1 species